AUGAUGGCAGAGAGGUCACACCCGUUCCCAUACCGAACACGGAAGUUAAGCUCUCUAGCGCCGAUGGUAGUUGGGACCUUGUCCCUGUGAGAGUAGGACGU
rnacentral:rRNA from 5 species